GCCCGGAUAGCUCAGUCGGUAGAGCAGGGGAUUGAAAAUCCCCGUGUCCUUGGUUCGAUUCCGAGUCCUUGCC
rnacentral:tRNA from 1 species